rnacentral:rRNA from 1 species
CGGCCGUAACUAUAACGGUCCUAAGGUAGCGAAAUUCCUUGUCGGGUAAGUUCCGACCCGCACGAAAGGUGUAACGAUUUGGGCACUGUCUCAACGAGGGACCCGGUGAAAUUGAAAUACCUGUGAAGAUGCAGGUUACCCGCGACUGGACAGAAAGACCCCAUGGAGCUUUACUGUAACCUGACAUUGGGUUUUGAUACAUUACGUACAGGAUAGGUGGGAGGCAUGGAAAGCUGGACGCUAGUCUGGCUGGAGCCGCCGUUGGGAUACCACCCUUGAUGUAUUGAAAUUCUAACCGCGAGAGUAACGAAAUCCGGGACAGUGUCAGGCGGGCAGUUUGACUGGGGCGGUCGCCUCCGAAAGAGUAACGGAGGCGCCCAAAGGUUCCCUCAGCGCGGCCGGAAAUCGCGCGAAGAGUGUAAAGGCAGAAGGGAGCUUGACUGCGAGUCAAACACGACGAGCAGGUACGAAAGUAGGGCUUAGUGAUCCGGUGGUACCGAGUGGAAGGGCCAUCGCUCAACGGAUAAAAGCUACCCUGGGGAUAACAGGCUAAUCUCUCCCAAGAGUCCAUAUCGACGGGGAGGUUUGGCACCUCGAUGUCGGCUCAUCACAUCCUGGGGCUGAAGUCGGUCCCAAGGGUUGGGCUGUUCGCCCAUUAAAGUGGUACGUGAGCUGGGUUCAGAACGUCGUGAGACAGUUCGGUCCCUAUCCAUCGCGGGCGCAAGAGAUUUGAAGGGGGCUGCUCCUAGUACGAGAGGACCGGAGUGGACGAACCGCUGGUGUACCAAUUAUCCCGCCAGGGGUACAGUUGGGUAGCUACGUUCGGAAAGGAUAAACGCUGAAAGCAUCUAAGCGUGAAACCAGCCUUAAGAUGAGAUCUCUCAUAGAGCAAUCUAGUAAGACACCUUAAAGAAGAUGAGGUUGAUAGGUCGGGAGUGUAAGUACAGCAAUGUAUUGAGCGGACCGAUACUAAUAUGUCGAGGGCUUGACUUA